ensembl:miRNA MIR1587 microRNA 1587
UUUGGGCUGGGCUGGGUUGGGCAGUUCUUCUGCUGGACUCACCUGUGACCAGC